rnacentral:rRNA from 1 species
AGCUUGCUCCUCUGGAUCAGUGGCGAACGGGUGAGUAACACGUGAGUAACCUGCCCUUGACUCUGGGAUAAGCGUUGGAAACGACGUCUAAUACCGGAUACGAACCGUGGAGGCAUCUCCUGCGGUUGGAAAGAACUUCGGUCAAGGAUGGACUCGCGGCCUAUCAGGUAGUUGGUGAGGUAACGGCUCACCAAGCCGACGACGGGUAGCCGGCCUGAGAGGGUGACCGGCCACACUGGGACUGAGACACGGCCCAGACUCCUACGGGAGGCAGCAGUGGGGAAUAUUGCACAAUGGGCGAAAGCCUGAUGCAGCAACGCCGCGUGAGGGACGACGGCCUUCGGGUUGUAAACCUCUUUUAGCAGGGAAGAAGCGAAAGUGACGGUACCUGCAGAAAAAGCACCGGCUAACUACGUGCCAGCAGCCGCGGUAAUACGUAGGGUGCAAGCGUUGUCCGGAAUUAUUGGGCGUAAAGAGCUCGUAGGCGGUUUGUCGCGUCUGCUGUGAAAACGCGAGGCUCAACCUCGCGCCUGCAGUGGGUACGGGCAGACUAGAGUGCGGUAGGGGAGAUUGGAAUUCCUGGUGUAGCGGUGGAAUGCGCAGAUAUCAGGAGGAACACCGAUGGCGAAGGCAGAUCUCUGGGCCGUAACUGACGCUGAGGAGCGAAAGCGUGGGGAGCGAACAGGAUUAGAUACCCUGGUAGUCCACGCCGUAAACGUUGGGAACUAGAU